rnacentral:rRNA from 1 species
GACAGAGGGUGCAAACGUUGUUCGGAAUUACUGGGCGUAAAGCGUGCGCAGGCGGCUAUGCAAGACAGAUGUGAAAUCCCCGGGCUCAACCUGGGAACUGCAUUUGUGACUGCAUGGCUAGAGUACGGUAGAGGGGGAUGGAAUUCCGCGUGUAGCAGUGAAAUGCGUAGAUAUGCGGAGGAACACCGAUGGCGAAGGCAAUCCCCUGGACCUGUACUGACGCUCAUGCACGAAAGCGUGGGGAGCAAACAGG